CUGGCUCAGAUUGAACGCUGGCGGCAUGCUUUACACAUGCAAGUCGAACGGUAACAGGGGCUUCGGCCCG
rnacentral:rRNA from 1 species